AUUUAGAUUCUGCAAAAUGAUUGA
rnacentral:siRNA from 1 species